rnacentral:lncRNA from 1 species
UUUUCUUUUUUUUUGGUUAUAUUUGUAGAUUUCUUUUUUCUAUUCUUACAAAUGAGAGAAUUGUACGAUAGCAUUCAUGUCAUCAUAUUUUUGAAAUUAUUGGUAAGUAAUUUCUAUGGCCAAAAUUGACUAUAUUACAGAACUAAUAUAAAGAUAAUUAUAUAUAAAAAGAGAGUAAGAUAAGAAAAAUAUAUCAAGUAAUUUCAUAAUUUAGAAUAGAGACCAACUUGAAUUUGUGAAGUAAUUGAGUGAAGCAAAGAGAACGAAAAGCUUUCGUAAAGAUAUUAGCUGGUUGUUCUGUGGUGGAGAUGAAUUGAAGAUGAAGAGUUUUGCUUUUAUGAUGAUGGCGAAUAAAGUGUCAAUCAUUCUCAACGUGCUUUGCUCGUUCAUGAAAUACACUAUUGUGAGUAAUUUGAAUGACACUAAGAUUAUCUCAAUCAAAAAUAGUUUAGUUUAAUUUUAUUUAAUUAAAUUAAAACUAGGAUUUUUUUUUUUAAAAAAUAGUAGCUUUUACAAAAUAUUUACAACCUAUAGUAAAUUUUUACUGAUGAUCAUUGAUAUACUACGGUAAUAGAAUUCAAAAUUUUAUUAUAGUUUAUAAAUAUUUUAAUUUAUUUUACUAUUUUUAAAAAUGACUCUAAUAAAUAUGGAUUUUAAUUUAUUUAACUUCUAAUUAAAUUAAAUAAAUUUAUAAUUAAUUUUAUUAAAUCGUAUUUAAUCAAAAUUAAUUAAUCAUAUUAAUAACUUCCAUAUAAAUUAAUUAACAUGCACACUAUACAUUAUAGCCAUUAUAACAUAUUUUGAAUGCGUGGACAUGUCAACUUAUAAUGAGAUUUUAAAUCUAUAUGACAUACUUUAUACACAUACAAUUUAAACUUUAAUUAAACAUACAUCACUAAUUAAAAGAUAAUAAAAUAGUGUACACUCUGUUUUGAGUUUGAGUUGCAUGCUUGAUGCUAACUGUAAAGAGAAUUAGGCUUGAUAAUUUACAAGAAAAGAAUGCAGUGAAAAUAUCAUGAGCUAAAUAAUAUUUCGUGACAUGCUUCGCAUUACAACUUGAAAGUCUAUUUAUAGACUUCGAAUUUCAAACGCAAUUGAAGUAAAAAAAAGAAGAUAAAAUCAAAUCAGAUAGAACAUAACCUCUUAUUCGAUAAAAUUUUGAAGAAAAAAAGAUAAGAUCGAAUCAACUAGAUAAAAUGGUUCAGAGUAAGAUUUGGGUGGAUGGUAAAAUCCUAAAAUUUUAAAAUUAUUUAUAUAAAUUAGAAAGUAGUGGAUAAUUAUUGAAAUCAUAUUUUCGUACAAAACUAAAGUGUGGAAAUUUCCACCACCUAAUAAACUGCUUUAUUAAUAAUUUACUUUAAUAGUUUUAUAAUUAUUGUGCAUAGUUAGUAACUAACGUAUUUAUUAUUCACACAUAUUAAUUAUUAACAUUACUAUAUCUGCAUAAUAAAUGGAAAGAUUUAUAACAGGAAAUGAAUUUGUCGGCCAUUGAUCCAAGGAGAAAUUGAAGUUUUCUUUCUACUCUCCAAGAAUAUUUGUUGUCCUUUCAAGUUGUAAUUGUGUAUACUAUUAUUCGUAUUUGGUACCUUCAUUAUUGACUGACCAAUGGACUCCCUGCACUUCAACAUUGUCACUUACGAUCCCGACCAUCAAAUGUAGUUUAACACUUUACGAAAUAUACACAAUUUCAUUUUAGCUUUUAGACUUGAUCUUGAAUUGUACUUAUUGUCUUCAUUUUUUUCCUGAAUUUCUGGAUGACAGAACAAUAUUUAUUUUUUAUACUAGGGAUGCGAAAAUACAUUUUAUUUUUAUUAUUUUUUAUAAUAUAAUAAUUUGAAUAGAAAUCUUCUUUUAGAAGACUCUAUAUAUAAUCUAUUUUCCUUUUGAAACAUGUAUAUGGGUUCGGAGCUCACAUAGGUCGUGAGUCGAGAUACGGGUCAUCCAGAUCGUAUUAUGGAUCUGCUUGCUCUUCACUUCCUAUAUGGAGGAAGAGAUUGAUUUGAAGAUGAGGAAGCAUUUACUUGCUGUUAAUAGUAAUCUUUGGAAAUCUACAUCAGUCGUGGCUUGAGCAAGUUCUGCAAGAAGCUUUGGUUUAUCAUUUAAGAAUUCAGCAUUCUUUCUUUGAUCAAGGUCUUGUAAAUAGUUGUUCUUUACAAACCAUUCUUUCACGUGUGUUGACGGUGACAUGUUGAAAGUUUUAUUUUUCCCACCGUUGGAUCUUCAGAUUUUUUACUAACAUUUUGUAUUGAGGAUAUGAUGUUAUAUUGUAGCUCCAACAAAAUAUCCAUAGAAUUUGAAAAUAAAGGCAAAAUCUCAUCGAAUUAUGAAAUGAAUUCUUUUGAAAUGUUCUUGAAAAAUAAAAAUAUGAUUCUUGAAUUGGAGUUGGUAGAAUAUCGUUGGUAAUACCAAAGUUAUUCAACCAUUGAAUAAACCAUAAAGGAAAAUUAAUUUUGUAGGCGUUUUGACAAAAAGAAAGAACCACGAAUGGUUUCUAUUUGAAAAUUAAAAUACUCUAAACCAAGUUUUGAUGUAAUCUUGAAAGGAGUAAGAUUGAGGAACAAAACGCUUUGAAAAUGAUUUUUUUUGUAAAAUGUUUUUGAUUCUAAUGAGUUGAUCAAUUGAUUGCUUUGAAAUUUUUUAAUUUUGAAUAUGCAAUUUUUAAAGGAUCAGCUAAAAUAUACUCAUAGAAUUUUCUUGUUUUUUUGAGGUCUUUUGGAUCGAAGUUGAAGCCCUUGGGGGAAUAUUUUUUAAACUCUCUUAUAGAGUGAGACUUUGAUAUUCGAGUUCUAUGAUAGGACCAUAGACCACGAUCGAAUUUUAAAAAUAAGUUUUGAUCUUGGGUCUUGGCACGAACCGUUUAUCGAAAGUGACAGCAUGAGAAUAAGUUAGAGGAGGAGUGGAAGACUCCCUAUUGGAUGAAGGAGAGGUAGGAAGCCUCAUUGGAACAACUCCGCUAGAAGGACAGAUGAGAUUGGCCGAAGGCCUAGAUGGAGUUGAUGGCUCUAUGGGAGAUCCAGUCCGUAUGCCCGAUGAUCUUACUCUGGAUUAGGUUACUGUGGUAUUCCUUAUAUCCAUAGCAUAUUGAUCUGCACUCAUGUGUGAAGGUGCAUAAUUAGAAGAAGAAGAGAUGGGUGGUUGCCCUUUGAAGAGGUCGAGUUUACUCUUCAUCUUGCACUUUCCUUUUCCAAACUCAUUCUUCUUCUUCGAGUGCUUUUAAAAAGGAGAGAGUUUUGGAGUUAGAAACUCCUUUGAGAUGUAAUCAACUAGGGGUUUUUGUUAUCCUUUUAUAGGCACAACUUCAAAAUCAAAGCAAGACGGUUUGCCAUUUGGCAAAAAUUUGUUUUGAAACAAGAUUUUUCACAUUUUUUUCUAACACGAAUUUUGAAGCUCUUGAAUUUGUUUUGAUUAUGAAUUUUUUAUUGAUUAGUUCUCCUUGGAAUUUUUUAAGACACAAAGAACUACGACAAGUAAUUCCUUUUUUAUCGUUGAGUAAUUUUUUGUGUAUCAUUCCAAAUUUCUGAGUGGAGUCAGAUCAUUGAUUCGGUCUUAUCUAGACACUAUUUGAGGAUUCCUCCAUCUUCUAUAUUAGAGGCAUCAAUUUCAAUGAUAAGGUUUGCUUUUGAAUUAAUGAGAUUGAGACAAAUGAUUCAUUUGACUAAAGACUUAAUUUUUUGAACAAUUUGGGUGUGCUUAUCAGACCAUGGUUUUAAAUUUUUCUUUAACCUUUUGUACAACGGUUUGCAAAUGCGGUUGAGGUUCUUUAUGAAAUCAAGCACAUAAUCUAGGCAGUCCAAAAACCUUUGAAGAUGGGUUUUAUCUCGAAUUUGAUUAGUAAAAUUUAGAGAAAAUUGUGAGAAUUACAAAAUAAGAUAGUGCAGUUUGGAAAAAAGCAAAUUUAAAAAAUAAUUUGAAUUUUAGCAAAAUUGUAAAACAUAUAUACUUUUUGAGAAUCUUUCAACCGAUUUUAUCCCUUGAUAGAAUGAAUAUCAUUUUGUUAAUUACAAUAUAUUUGUGAACCGUAAAACAAUAAAACAUAACACAUAAUUACGAUUACGAUGUAUUUGGAUAUCAUUCAAUUUUAUAAUAAUAUUAAAUAAAUAUUUAUUUUAUCUAUUGAUCUCAUUUAACUAAAUUCUAGAUUCAUGCCUUAAAUUUAUAACAGAUUAUCAUAUUGCUUAAUUGUAGGUCUCGUUGGAUGAUUCAAAAAUUUGAAUUUAGAAUAAUAUCUUUUACCUAAAAUUAUGCAUUUUAUAUAAUAACAACUUCAUAUAAAUGGUGUAUCUUUCCUAUAAUUAUGUAUAUAGCAAUUAUUCCAUUUUCGGAUUGAUCGUAUUAAUAAUAAUCAAUUGUUAAGAAUUAUUUUAGGGAAUAAAUGGUAACAUAACAUCAAUGCAAUCUUGUUACGUAAUUAUCAUUAAAUUAGAAACAUUUUCUUUAUAUAUUAUUUACUACCAUUUAAAAAUUGAUUUUAAAUUCUUGUAAAUUCUCCUAAAAUCGUAUUAUUGGAUUGAUAUCCCUAAAAUAAUAGCAAAUAUAAAUUUAAUAUUUUUGAAUUAUUUAUAUUUCAAAACAUUUAUAAAAUUAUUGAAUUUAAAUACCUCCAAAAUACGUAUUGCUCGUAACAAAUUGAAUUAAAAAUUUUAUCUUCCCCUAAAGUCGUUCUAAUUCGUUUAUUUUUAUUUUUUAAAAAUUGUUUUAUUGUGCCAGUGGUAGGAAUAAUUAUUUUGAGACGUGUUUUUAAAUUACGUUAAUAUCUACGUUUAUUUUCAUCUAGUAAGAGUCUCAAAUGCAUCAUAAUUGUGAUCCACAAUCUUUAAAAUCUUAUAGUCAUCUAUUAUACAAACUUAUUCCAAUCAACAGAUUUUGGACACACAAAAAAAGAUAAAAAAUUUGGUCAUCAAGAUGUAGUUCAUUACCCAUCUUGAUUUCACAUAUUCCAAAUACAAUUUAUUUCAAUAGAUAAAAAAAACGAGACAUGAUAUUGAAGAUAGCACAAAAUCACUAUAUUUCGUAAAUAACAUUCAAAUUUGAUAAAUCUUAACUAAACAUGUUAUUUUGUACCAUUUAUUAAAUAAUACAUGAUAUAAUUUUAAUAACAAUUUGAAUUUAAAUUUUAGAUCCUUCCCUAAAAGUAUGUUAAAUAUAAAUAUAAUAAUUUCACUUUUUUUAAAUAUUUUUAGUCGAUUUUACUUGUAUAGAGGAAAAUUUUUAUCUGAUAGAUAUAGUCUACUACAUUAAAAUGAUGGGUAAUGAUGGAAUAUAACCCAAAAUCACGAAUACAUUGUAUUUACAAAUCAUUCAGUUGUGUAAAAAUAUUAAAUAAAUAUUUAUUUUCGAAAUUAAUUUGAUUGAAUCAACAUCCCUUAGAUUUAAGUCUACAAUUUAUUCCAGGUUUUCUUGUUUGUAGGUUUCAAAUCAAGUAAUUAACAAUUUAUUUAGUUGUGGUUGUUAAAAUUAAAAUUGUAUCUUACUCCUAUAAUUAUGAUGCAUUUAAUGUAUAUAUAUAUGAUUAUUUAUAAGAAAAUUUUGAUCUUCCCCUAUAAUCGUGGUAAUUGAUUGAUUUCCUAAAACAAUGUCAAACAUAAUUUCAAAAUUUUAGGAUUAUCUUGUUAAUAUCAUUUAUCUAUUUUCCAUAAUUGUUAUUUAAAAAUAGAUUUUAAAUUUUGAUUUGAAACCGUCAAAAUAUUAAAAUUGAUUUAAAAAUUUAUAAAAAUAGUUAUGAUUAAUAAUAAUUUGAAUUUAAAAUUUUGUUAUCCCAAAAUCAUGCUAAGAUUAUAUUUAUAUCUCCAAAAUAAUAGCAAACAUAAAUUUAACAUUUUCGAAUUAUUUAUAUUUCAAAACAUUUAUAAAAAUUUAAUAUUUUAUUUUUGGAAAGAAUUAAUUGAGAAGAAAAUAUUUGUUUUAUUUAAAUUGGAAAAGACAAAAAAGGAAAAGGAAGAUAUUUAAGGGGAAAUAAUAAUAUAAUAACAUUAUUAUUACUAUUCAUCAUCUUCUUCACUUUCACCAAACCCUAGCCGCCGCUGACACUUCUAUCUCCGUUCGAGUGUUCUUCGUCCAAUCGAGAUCUCCACCUUUGUAACCAUCUCCUCCAUUAUGUUGAUCAAGAACUAAGCUAUAAAGAAACAUCUCCUCCGCUACACGCCCAGUUGCGCCGGUUUUCUUCUUCUGCAUUCGUUCACCGAUUAUGCCAAAACUUUCAGCCACUGUCAGCCGUCGAAUUUUAGUGUCUUUGUUGUUGUUGGGGUUUUGUGACAUACAUUGUAUCUUUUCUAAAAAUCAAGCGGAUAUAUUGUUGUUGUAAUUUAAACGAGCGAAGAAGAAAAUCCGUUGAAGAAGCUUACCUUUGCGUGAAACAAAAAAGAAUCUAUAAUCGGUUUGAUGAAAAAGAUGGUUGACAAGAAGAAAAUUCUUUGAUUUGCACUGAAUGUAUGAAAACUUUGAAGGUUUCGAGAAGAACGAAGUUUAAAGCUCCAAUCUUUUCAGCAAAUGAAUCGAAGACUUUGAAGAUUUAGUGGAAUCUACGAAAGUGGAAGGUAGUGAAGCUGGAUUCUUUUCGGCUUUUAAUACCUAAACAUGCACAAUUUCAACAAGGAUGUGUUAUUUAAUUACAAGGUAUUUGGGGUUUAGAUGAACAAUUGUAUUUAGAACUGAUUUUGAAUUGGGUAGGGGCAUUUGAGACAUUGUUUCAUUUAUUUAUUUACAGAUUUUUGAGUUUUACCAUUCUAACAAUUUAAAAUUAAAUUUGCUAUUUUCUCAAAAUAAACCUCAUAAAUUGUCAUUGUUCUUGUCAGCCCUAAAAUUUAAAGCAAACUCAAUUGAUCUCUGAAUCGGCUUAAAUUCUCCUACAUGUAUUUCAAAGCCCAAAUAACUUAUUUUUGUUUCAAAUUAAUUUUACUUUUGGUAGAGAGACUACCAAACCAUUUGUUUUUAUAAUAUCUAUAAAAAUAUUGAUAUGCUUAAAAUGCUUUUUUAUAUUUGGAGAAAAGACCAAAACAUUAUUAAUAUAAACAAUUGUAAAAUCUUGAAAAUCAUUAAAAAUAUCAUUCAUGAUUUUUUGAAAUUCUAAUGGUGCAUUUUUUAGCCCAAAACGCAUUAAAUUCUAUUCAUAAUGUCUUAACGGAACAUUAAAAGCAGUUUUGUAUUUAUCUUUUUCGAAACUUUGAAUUUGCCAAAAUUUGAAUUUUAUGUCAAAUUUUAAAAAUAUUUUUGCAUUUGCAAUUCUUUUUAAUAAAUAUUGUUUGUCGGGAAUUAGAUAUUUAAUUCAUUCCAAGACUUUGUUUAAAGGUUUAUAGUUGGUUACUAACCUUGGAACUCCAUGCUCUUUUUCGACGACGUUAUUGACAUAAAAGUCGACACACGACCAUAGACUUUUAUAGUAUCUUAUUAGAUUUUUAUCUAAAAGUUUUGUAUUUCUUUUCUACAAUGUGUUAGCAAGUAUGAAUUUAUUUGAAUCGAUCUAGUCUUUGUUGGGAUAUCCGAUUCUUUGAAUUCUUUAGAAUAUGGAAGAUCAACUAUGUGUUUUUUCCUAUCCCACAAUGCAUGUGGUGAACUAGAACAAAUUUCUUUUCAAUUUUAAAUUGAAUGAGAAAUUGCAUCAGAUGACAAAAACAUUUAAAAAAAAAACAGCAUACGACACCUACUUUUUGCAUAUUGCGAAUAUGACAAAAUUAGUGAUAUUAGACAACUAUAAGAUGACUAUCGGAGCGCUAUCAGAGGGUAAUCGACUUUUAAAUUUGCUACUUUUGCAUUUUAGAAAAUGUAGUAACAUAUGUCUAUUAUCUUAUAUAUAUAUAUAUAUAUUUGCUAUUUUUGCAAGUGUCCAUUUCUUUUAUCCUAUUUUAAAUUGAAAAUUCUUUUAAACUUUUUUCAAUUCUUUUGUAAUCGAAUUUCUUAUUUUCGAAAACUAGUUUGUUUUAUUUUCUUUUCAUUUGUUCACUUUUCAAAACAAUAAUUUUUAAAAGUUGAUGAGGUAAAAUUGGAGAGAUAAAUUCAAAAAUCAUUUCUUCUCCAAAUUUAUUUGUUAAAGGUGUCCGAAGAAUUAAUUCUUAGCGAAGAUGUUUGACUAAAAGAAAAUAUAUUUUGAAACAAAAUUUUUUAUUACAAACAUAUACUUUUGAAAGUUUAAAUUUGAUAUUUAAUUAAUCAUUUGGGGUGCGUUUGCAAAAAUAGCAAAAAAAAUUUAUGGUAAUAGAACUAAUGACACUACAUUUUCUAAAUUGCAAAAAUAGUAAAUUUAAAUCGGAUAGCCCUCCAAUAGCCCUGAUAACCGUCUUAUCUGAUAUAUCUAAUUACUUGUCAUAUUUGUCAUAUUUGCAAUAUGCAAAAAAAAAAUGUAUUAUGGACUGCUUAUUUCUAUUUUUUUUUUGUCAUAUGAUGCAAUUUUUCUAUUUUUUUUUAUGUUUGCUCUAAUAAAAACCUAUGUGAUUUUUUCAAAAUAUUUUGUAGAAAUUAAACAUUCUUGAAUACAAUUUUGAUUUGCACCUGAGUCUAUCAAUGCUUUCAAAGUAAUUUUAAAAUUUUAUAUUUUUAAAAUAAUUAAAAAAUACUAUUUUUGAAAACUUAUUCUUGAAAUUAAAUUAAUUUUAGCAUUUAGAUUACUUAAAAAAUCUUUUCCUUAGGUCUAAAUCAUCUAAAUUAUCAUUUUGCUUUAUUUGAGAAAUUUCUUUUUUAAUUUAUAAAAUUUCAUAUUUAUUUUGAGAAAUUUUUCUUUCUAGACAAUUGAUUUCAAAAUUCAAUAGAAAUUGGUGUUUAUAUUUUUGGAGUUUGUAAAACUUUUUAAAGACUUUUUUCAAAAAUCAUUUUCUUCUUUAGAGAUGGUUUCCAAAAUAUUUCUUUUUAAAUCUUCAUUUGAAACAUGGUUAAUUGUUUGAAAUAAUAAAUUAUGUUUGAAAGUUAAAACAUUUAUUUAAAUUAAAAUAUAUUUAUAUGGUUCUUGACUUGAAAUUUUUGAAUUGGUUUGAUCUGUAAUUUCCUACAAUUGAAAGUUAGAAAUAUAAGAUAAAUCUUAAUAAUAUUUUUCUUCAUUUUUUUUUCAUGAAUCUCUCUUUGUGGACACUUAUUGGCAUAAUGUCCUUCUUUUCUUUAUUUCUAACAAAAAAAAAAAAAAAAACAAAUUGUUUGAUUUUCCUCUUUUUUGAACUUUUUUGGGUUGAUUUUCUGCAGGUUUUUUGUAAUUUGAAUAUUUGUGAUAUUUCUUUUGGGGGUAAGACUUGUUAUACCUUGGGAAUUUUCCAUAAUAUGUGAGUUUCAUAUUAUAGUUUUUUGGUCGAAUUUUUCUUGAAGAAGAAGCUGGUUCUUUGACCUUCUCAAAUUCGAGAACAAAAUGUCUUUAUUUAUUUUUUAUGAAGAUUUGAAUGUUUGUGUACUUUGGUUUGAAUUUUUAUCUCAUCGUAUAUAUCUAAACCACAUUCUAUGAUUCUAGAAGUUAGUUGGACAUAGGUAAGAGUUUCCCAAGGUAUUUCCUUAGGAUAUGCUUUGUUGAGGGAGUUUUAGACUCUUUCUGCCAUGAAGCUUGAAAGUCUAUCAAUGGACAUUUCUUUCAAGUGUCUGACAUUACAAUCCUUAAAAAUAUAUAAAUUUUAAAUAAGAACAUGUUUUUGUACCAUCUAAAUUUUUUCAAAGAGGAACAGUGUCCUCUCACUCUUCUUUUAUUUCUUGAGUUACUAAAGCUCCAUCUUUAGUCUUAAUUGUCCUUUUGAUUCUUGUCCUAUGAUUUUUAAUUGCUACUUUUUGUUUAUUGAUUAGGGCAUGAUCCCACCAUAGUUUGAAAGUUCCACUAAAUCCAUUGAUUAGAAGCAUAGGAGCCUCUCCAUUUGUAUGAGCAUUGGAUUCAUAGGUUAUGGAACAAGUUAACAUGUUAUUCAAUGUGUCAUAAAUUUGAUACUCUAGAGUUCCAUCAAUAUUCCAAAGAUAUAUGGAUUCUCCAUUGAAUUCUGUAUUUAUGACAUACAUUUGUCUUGCUCUAGUUCUUCUCCGGGAAAUGAAGGUCAAGGAUGAAAAUUUAUUUUAUCUUUCCUAUUAACAAAUCUUCCAAAAUUUAUCUUGUUGAUUUGUUUUUCUUCUUCGUUGAAUGAAAGAUUUUCAAAAUCUUCCAUGAAAACUUUCGCCCCUUAGGUUGUUUAGGUUUUUAUUAAUAUCAUCCGGAAGGUUUUGUUUAUGAGUUUUUAUCUUAACAUUAUCUAAAGGUUGGAAAAGGUUAGAAGUUUCUUCGAGAGUAGAAGAAUUGAAAUUUUCUUCUAACUUGAAGACGUGACUACGAUUGAAGAAAUCAUUAUGUUAGAAUAAUUAUUUUAAACUUGGAUACUCUUUAUUUCUUUAUUUGUAGGAGUCUUGUGUUCAAAUUCAUUGAUAAUUUGAAAAGGAUUUGCUAUAACAUUCUUAUUAGAAAAACUUUUGAACUCAACAUCUUCCAUCGGAGGGAAAUCAUCUUUGAUUUCUCCUCUUUGAGUUUUCCAAUAUUCAUUUUCUUUUAUUCUACAAAGAUGGUCAAAAUCUUUUCUUUGGUUGAACCAUUUAAAAAAUGUAAUAUGUUCUUGAAGUAUUUCAAAAGCCUUGAAACUUCUCUAAACAACUUCUGUUCUGUUUCAAAGUAAGUUUCGGAAAAGGAAAUUCUUUCAAUAAAAUUUGCUUUAGACAUAAAUUCCUUUUGUAAGGAUUCUUUGUCAAGCUCAAAUUUUGAUUCUAAAAUAAUUACAUUUACUUGAGAACUAGUAUCCAUUUCUGUUUGAGUUAGAGAACCAGGGAGAUUUUCUUCAUAAAUGUUAUUUGGUAUUCUUGAUCUAAUCUAACAUAUUAAUUUUACUUUCGAGAACUUGAUCUGUUUGAUUAGAUAUUGGUUCACUCUUAAUACUACAUGUACUGGGCCUUGAACUCAUAUUUUCUUUAACAACAAGGAAGCUAGGUGAUUCGUUUUCAAACUUAAUUUCUACUUUCCCAUCAAGAUGUUCAAACACGCCACCAAGGAGCCUCCAGAUCGUUAACCCUACCGUUUCUUCGUCAACAACCUGAUCUAAAACGAAAGAGAGAAGGAAAACAAAAGAGAGAGAGAGGGAGUUUAACAAUGUUGGAAAAAGGAGAGAGGGAGAGUUGAAUAGUACAAGAGGAGGAGUUGAACAGUAUGAAAGAGAAGUUAGAUAACCCUAAUCACCAAUUGUGUUCAUCUGUGAACCAAACGUGGAGUGCACUCUACCUUACUCUAAUAUCAUCCACUCCAAACAUGCCCUUAAAGUUUGGGAUAGAAAAAAGUUCGGAAAGUUGUGUAUAAACCUAAUUUUGUUUAAUUACGAUCAUCGGAGUUUUAAUUUGUAAAGUUGAUUAGUUUGAGGUUAGAUGGAGACAAAUGAAAUUAUUAGUUUAUUACCCAUUGUAGAAAAAUGAGAAGUAUUUGUGUUUGUAAAAUGGGAUUUAAGUUAAGGGUAGAGUCCGUUAUGGCAAAUUUGUAAUUAUUUACAUCUUCUUCCUUAGGUUCUUAAAAUUAGACAAAACAAAAGGGAAGAAAAAUGUGAGGCAGCCGACAGUCACAAAAGAGAGGGAAAAAACUGAGAGAGUGAAGCAGUGGCGACUUUGAGGCAGUGGUGUUUUGGUUUUAGUUCAACGUCGGGGUCCGUUGGAGUCGUAUUUCGCCAGAUUUGGGUCUUUGUCUAAGUGGUUUCGGCGUGGGUCUCUCAUAUGCUCUUGGAGUUUGGUGGACAGUAUAGUCGUUUUGUCGUGGUUGAUUACAAAUUGCUUGUUGUGUUGAACUCUAUAAUUGUAUCCUAUUUUGCUCUUAAUAAAAUCUCUCCAAGCUGGUUCUCAAAAUGAAUGUAGAUCGAAUUGGUGGUUUAUUCUUUUAUCGCCUUGUGUGUAUUCUGAAUUGUGAUUUCUAUUUUAGACCGUCGUCUAUUUAGCGCGGAAAGUAUGAGACCCAUAAUAAAGUUGGAAAAGAAUGGAGUGAUGAAAAGUCUGGUAGUCACAAAUUUGAAUAAAAUGAGGGAAGUUGCAUCAAAGUGGCCCAGUGUGUAUCUCCACCCACCGCUCCCAUCAGCCUCAAAAGUCAAAAGAAUUCCAAAAGUUGUGAGACCCAUUAGUGUCCCCAUUUGAUGAAUAAAUAUCUACAUUCUCACUUACCUCCAAAUUGUCCAAAUCAAAGUUCUUAUAAAAAGAAAUGCAGCUUCUGAGAAACAACCUAUGAAUUUUAUUCAUUAAAUCCCUGAUGAUUUUCGAUUUCUUCUUUCUAGAAAGGUUUAAUUUUCAAAGCUACAUUUCUCUACCUCUCUUACUCGUUGAAUUUAAACUUAAAUAAAUUUCUCAAAUUAGCAAUCAAAUUAUAAAGCUAAUUAAAAGUUGAAUAUAUAAAUGGAUAAAUUCAAAAAAUGGCACGUGUUUUUUUGUCUUUCAUUUUAAUCUUUGUAAAAUUUUUAAACGAAAAGUAUAAUUUAAAAAUAUUAUUAAUUAUAUUACCUCUCAUCAAUUAAGCACCGAAGUUCUUUAAGCAUAAAAUUAUUGAAUUUUGACUGUUAAUUUUAGUUUAUAUUAAUUGAAUGCAGAAUAUUUUCAAUUAAUGUUCUCCUUCAUUUUAGAAGGCUUUGUUAUUUUCUUCUAUAUUUCUAGCUAUCAAGUAUAGUCUUUUCAACAUUGUUUUAGCAUGAACAUUCUCAUAAUAGGUGACAGGUGCACUAGGGUUAGCAUGUACAUAUUAAAUUGUUGUAUUGUUGUCCAUUUUUUUAUUUUGCCAAAUAGUUAAAAAACGACAUUUUGGAUCCGUGUAGAUAAAUAUUUUUUAUUACACCAACAAAUAAAUAAAAUUAAUAUUCUUUUAUAAACUAUAAUAUUUUUCUUUUACAUAUGUAUAUAUACAAAAUGAAAUCGUGAAACAACAGUACAGGAAACAAGAUCCUAAUACAAGACUUAAAUAAGAAAUUUUAAAUGCCUCUACAGUCUUCAACCUUCAACGAUCGCUUGACUAUCUAUACAAUCGUUUCGCUUUCAACCCAAUAUGACUUCAAUCAUUUUACAAACAAUAUCUAAAUCAACCAUUUAAUCUUUAGAAUUCUAACGGUGCAUCUUUGAGAAAAAUGGCUCUAAAAACUAUCAUAUAAUUUGAGUAAAAAAUAAAAAUGUUUGAAACUAAAUCGAUUAGUCAAGUAUAUGUAACAAAAGGUUGCAAGUAUUGGUAAAAUUAAAUGUAAAAUUAAAACAAAACAAAUUGACACAUUGUAUGGAAUAAGCAUAUUGAUGAUGAUAAAAUUAAGUACUGGGAAUUCUAGAGUGUUGAAACGAGGAAAUAAACGUAUACUUAGAGAUGGAACUUGGAGGAGGGAGUUGGACAUGGAACUUUGUUUCUUAUCAAUAAAAACAUGCUUUGAUAAAAACGUUUCUAAACUCAUGUUUUACAAUGCUUUUAACACUUUUUAUAAACAUGUUGUUAAAUAGAAAUAAGGCUCACUUUAAAUAAUAACUUGUAAAACAUAUUAAAAUUGUUAUUUAGAAAUCAUUUUACAAAUAAUCUUAGUAAAUUCAUUUUUCACUCAUAGACUGCAUAUCAAACCCUUGAUCGAUAAGCUUAGCCGAUUUCUUCUUGUUCUGAAAGAAUGGAAAACAACUUCAAUUAAUUCUCUUUUAUUUUAAAAUUUUCAAAACAUUACUUAGAGUUUCCCAAAUCAUCAUAAACAGCCCCAAAAUGCCUCAAAAAACCUCUCUGAAUCCAAAACGCAUGCCCAACAUGUCAUGCUAAUUUCUUAGUCUAAAACCUCAUUCUCUGCUAGAACUCUACUUCUUAUUUAGAGCUUAAUAGCUUAAAAUCCAGAAAUCAAAUAAAAAUACUUUCUUCUACAAAUGGGUUGCAAAACAUCUUAUUAUUCUUACCUUAAAAGUUUAGCUUCAGAUUCCAACAGAUGAACUCUACAACCCUUUGUAAGUCCACGUUAUUCAGAAUCACCCAUAGUCUAACCUUUCUUGCUUUCCAUAGCUAAAACUCAGCCCUCCCUUACUCAAUUUAAACGAGCAGCCCUAGCUUAGAAAUUAGACUCAAAAUGGAAACUUUUAGGAGUAAUUUCAUUCACAAAUGCAAGAGUGUAUUAUGAGAAAAAUGAAUCUAAAGAAACCUAAUUAUAGAGUCCAUUGCAUGAAUUUACAUUGACACCUCAUCCUUGCUUAAAUCUACCUUAAAUCAUAUUAAGACACCUCCUACUCACUUUUACACCUCAAAACACGCGCUAACAAGACUUUGACACUUCACUUAAUUUUUAAACUAAUUGUCUUAACCAUGUCACAUAGUUGUCUAAAACGCAUAGCUAACUUCCAAGGUCAUCUCGCCUACUUUCUCGUUCAGACUACAUAACGCGAAUUUAAAAAGUUAUAACUUAAAAUUUAUAACUUUUUUUAUCCUUCUACAAAGGUUCUCCAAAAUGAGUUAAAUUUCUGACAACAAAAUGUCAGAGCAAAACGCCAAAUUAUGCGUUCUAUAACCUUCUGGGAGUACAUCUUACUCAGAUUUACUCAUGAACUUACCUUCUUGCCUUCUCUUAUCCAAAAUGCCAACUUUUUCAUAUCUAAAAUGUCCAGCAGCCUUGCUCGAUAAAAUAAACUCAAUUUCUAAACUUUUAAAACUAAUUUGAAUGCAAAUGCCCAAGUGAGUUGCUAAUCACUAACAGUACUUAAAUGUAGAUUCCAUUGAAUGUAUGCAGCAAACAAAUGACAACUUAGGUUCUUACAGAUAGUGUGACAAAAUUGUCAUCAUUUUUCUACGAUUAGUAGCUAUUCUUUCCCCCACUUGUAAUGGAUUUAAAAGGAAUUAUUGGAAGAGAGCAAGGAGAGGUGCACUCCUAUGCCCUUUUUGGGCUUUCACUUGUUUCGUUCGCUUGUACUUUCUUCUAUUUUUGCCCUUUUAUUAUUUUAUAUUUUUCCUCAAAUGUGUUUGUCAAUCUUUGAAUUCAAUAUUAUUGCAUGCUUCUGGUUUUUUUCUAGUUUUUAAGUAGCAUAUAAGAUUUUGUCAAUGUUUGGGUAUAAUAGUCUAGUUUUUUAUAGUGAUUUCUUUCCCUCAAUGUUUGAAUUCAAAUGUGCCUUGUGUUGGGUAUAAUAACCUUGCAAGGGAAGGUGAAAACUAGUACGAAUUUAUCUUGGAACUAGAAUGCAGAGCUAAGUUCUCUUGAACGACGAAAGAUGGGAGAAAGUUAGGUUGUUUGAAUGUCUAGCUAGGUUAUUGAUCUCUUAUAUGCCAUUACAACUUCAAGUAUUCUUCUUAAGUCGUAUCAUGAGUUGCUGGUUCUUAUGCCUAUGUUGGGAACAAUAUUCAUCAUUUUCUUUCAUUAAUUAGAUUGCAGAACUUUUCGGAGACUUUGAUUCAAAAGUUUGAAUGGCACGGCUAAAAACUAUGUUUUGAGUCUGCGUUGUGGCCAUGGUCUAAAAGGGAGAGAAAAAGUUUAUGAACACUGCCCACAAAAACAAUCCAUUGUUUCUCGAAAAUGCACCUCCGUCGUCCUCGUGGCCUGCCUGUCUCUUUUGAUGCCGCUUACUCCUUCAUCCUGCCACCGGUAAUUACUCCUCUUCUUCUCCUCAUGUAAAGUAUAUAUAAUAUAUCAGUAAUUAAACGUUCUUACAUCGUAUGGACUUUCUAAUCUCUGUUGUGAAUUGGGUUGAGGUUAUUUUUUUAGUUUGAUUUUACUGUGUUUAUGGUGCAGCUGAAAGAGUGGAGGGUUUUGAUUUGUAUUAAUCCGUUCUUACAUUGAGUGGUGUUGGUGAGGCCGACAAUGGGGAAGACUGAUUUGAUUAAUGAUUUAUAUGUCUUUUAAAUUUGCUUUUAUCUUAGUUUCAAUUAUGUUUGAAGAAAGAAAAAUGUGUGUGUGUUGCCAAUUACUUUUCAUCUUUCUUCACUUAUUUGUUUUUUCUCUCAUUAGUUACUUAGAAAAAGUAGAAGUGUUGCUUCUAAUUUCUUGUUCUAGUAUACUAUAAAAAGUUGCAAAUUUCUCCAUCUCAUUCUCUGUCUUUCCAUCACAUUUUUCUAAUUCCCCAACUGGGUUCUUUUCAACUAUCAAUACUAUGACUCUUUUAAUUCUCAGGACCUGCUCUUUGAUCUUCCUUCCUGGAAUCAAAUUUUUCUUGGUUUUUCUUUUCCCCUCCAAAUCAACUUCAAUUGGGUAUUUUUCAUUCAUUGAAGUUUCCUGGUUAUCUCAAAUUCAUGUCUUUUUUAAACUUAUGCAAAAUUGGAAAGUUUUGGUUUCACGUUUAGAUAUAUAUAUAUAUAUAUAUACACAUGUUGGGAGGAAUCAAUAUGAAAUUCAACAUUUGGGUUAUUUGCUUUUGGAUAGAUUGAAAGAAUGGUGUGGUGUAGCUUGUUUAGUUCAAUGAAAAGAUUAUUAAGAACUUGUUCAAUCAUGCUGAUUUUUUUGUUGUUGUUCAAUUAAUUUAAUACUAUGAGGCUUUCUUUUACUUUUUAGCUACUUUAUGCUUAAAGUUAAUUUAAAAUACUCUCUAGAUAUGCUUCAUGUUUUGUUGACUAUGUUGAAAAGCUAACAAUUUAAAACUUCUAAAAACUAUCUAUCUUGAGUUUAGACAUGUUUCAUCUUUAUUCAUAUUGAUAAUUCAUAUAAUCAAGCUUUGUGAUAUUAUUAAUUAUUCUUGUUGUACGCUUAUUAGUAGUUGUUUGAAUUAAAGUAUAGUAUUGAAGUCUUCAAAAUUUAUGUUUUAGGACCUUAAUAAAAAAAUUAAAUAAAUAAAAUGAUCAUGAUAUAUUACUACAUUUUCAGGGUGAUUUCCAAUAUUUUCAACUUUUAUGUGCUGUCAUAUCAAAACACAUGGAUGCCACUUUACAUCUCAAUGAUGAAAAAGAAUACCAUUCUUAUAAAUUAAAUGUUCCUUCUGCAGGUUGCCAAGUGAAAAAUUGGGAAUUAUGAUGUGGAAGUAUAUUCUUUGAGGCGCAGAAUAAAAGAGCUAAAGGAGAAGUUGGAAACUACGAAUGCAAGGGCUCAAUCAUUUCAGAAAGAAGGAAGGAUUUUGCAACAACAAAAGGUUUAUAUUGUAGCAUAGACAUGUAUAUGUUGUUGAUAUGGUACACUUUUCGGCUGCACAUAUACUUUGUUUAUAUUACACAUAGAUGAAAAGUUUGGGCUAUUGUAAUUAUGUAAUGACCAACUAUUUAUAUGGUUCAUUGAUAUAUACAAUUUGUUAAAAUAUAAUUGUUCAAUUAAUGUGUAGUUUAGCACAUUUGUGUACUGUCUUGCUUUACUUAUGUUUGUUAUUGUUGGACUUCAAAACAGGUGCAUGAUAAAUUAUAUUGAUAUUUUUAAUUUUAUAAUUUUUCAUUUGAAAAAAAGAAACCUUGAUGACAUUCAAAGCGUAUCAAGAAUAAACAAAAUCUUGACACAUAAAAAACUGUCAACUAAUCUUAUAUAUUUGACGCUUAAAAGCUGUAAAAAAAAAUGAACUCCUUAUUCUUGACACUGGAAGUAAAAAAUUUCAAGUAAUCUCAUAUACUUGACAGUUAUAUGAUUUUACUUGACGCUUAAAAACUGCCAAGUAAAACCCUCUUGCUCUUGACAUUGGAUUACUUGACGCAUUGAAGUAAACAGAUACUUGACAGUUUUUAAGCGUUAAGUAAAGCCAAUUUUAUAGUAGUGAAAAAAUUUACUUGAUUAUUGAUUGUUUCUCACCAAUUCUUGAAAUUGAAUGUUGCUUGAUGAAAUUGAAUGUUGCUUGAUGAAUUCCUUAUGAAUGUUCUUGGAAAUUAGUUGCAAAAGUUCUUUUUGCAAAAUUAUGAAUGAACUUGUAAUUUUCUUUGAAGAACAAGUUAAGGCUUUAGUUAAUAUUGCAAGAAUUAAACUAAUUAACUCCCUAUGAAAAUAAUCUCCUUUCUUGAACUUUGAUCAAAAUUCUUCCAAGAUUAAGCAAGUUGAUAAUGUGAAGAAUCUUGAAUCAAAGAACUCUUAAUUAAGCACGAUUCAAUUUUUAAUCAUCUUUGAUUCAAUGAUAAGAAUAGAUUAAUAGUCUAAGCUCAUUCCUCAAUUUUCUUAUUGAAUUUUAAUCUCUCAUUCCUUUUUCUUGAGAAUUCAGUUGCAAUUUAAAUUUUCCCUUUUCAUUCUUGGUUACAUUUGAUUUCUCUAAUCUCUUUUCAAUGGUUUUCUUUUCUUUUUGUUACUAAUCUCAAUUGUUUGAAGCGUUUAUUCAAGAAAAUAUAUUAGUCUACACUCUCUUAGGUUUGACACCCAUGCUUUCACCUAUCAACGGUAAGAGUAAAAGGUAAUCUACAUGCGAAACUAGGUAAGUACCCUUUUAUAAUAAUUUUCAUUUUCGAACAUACUUGUGUUUAUUACUGACCUUGCUUACAUACAUUGCAUAAUUCUUUAACUUUUGCAUAUCAAAUUGACUCUUGUCAAAAUGGCAUGGUUGUCGGGCAGUGGCACGACAUAGGAUAUUUCUUGAAUCUUUACUUACAUUUUUCUUCGUUCGUAAUCUUUAGAAAAGCAUAUUACAUUUUUUUUUAGUCUUUCUUUGUUAUAUAUAGAAUAAAACAAAUAGUUAGCAUGCGAUUUUUUUUCUUUGCUUUCUUUAAUUCAUCUAGACUAAGGAAAGAAAAGAAAAGGCAAGCUAGUUCAUUACAGAACCAUUUGAACAUCCUAAAAUUUCAAGUGAAUUUUUUAACUAAACUUUUUACUUCUUUUGUGAAGGAGGAGGUUCCUAAAGAUGUGUCUUGUGGAAUAUGUGGCUUUCGAGGCCACCAAAAUGAUCAAUGCCUAAUAUUUAAAGAGUUAAAUGCCUACAACUGUCGAUACACUUCUUUACCCUCAUUAUCACAAGGUACGUACUUAAAAGAAUUAAUCUCAGGGUUAGCUUAUAGCUUAAAUAAUUUUAAAACUGAUUUUGAGAAGAAUUUAGCUAAAUUGAGUGACUAUACUGUUAGUUCAAUUGGAAGCAUGAGAAAUGACUUAGCUAAGUUGAGUGAACAAACUGUUAAUCCAAUUAGAUCCGUGAAUAAUGAUAUAGAAAUCAUGAAAGCAUCCAUCUCUGAGAUAGAAAAUAAGCUUUAUCAAUCAACAACACACAUUCUUGAAACGGAAGGAAAUGACGAACUUCUUGUCCAUCCAUCUCUGAGAUAGCAUGUGUGAAUGAUAUUACUUUAGGAAGUGGAAUAAUUUUCAAUGAUAAUGAUGAUCCAAAGUCUUAUAGUGAUCAUGUUUCCUUGUGUGCACUUGAUACUUUAGAACUAUUGAGACAUUUGAGCAUGAUAAAUUCAAUGAACUUAUAGAACAAGAAACUCUAGAAUAUUUUGAUAAUAAAUUUGCUAAAGAGAAACCUAGUGAUAAUGAUCUUUCAAUCUUCCUUGACUUUGUUACUAGUAUAAAUGAUGAGCAUGUUUUGGUUGACAAUGUUGCAACACAUGAACAACAUGCUUUAGGUAAUUAUCUUGCAUCUGGUAAAGAAUAUGAUUUAGGGAGAGACAUUAAGGAUGAUGAUGAACAUAUUUUGAAAACCAUAGGCAUUGAUAAUGAACCUGACACAAGCCAUCCACGUAGAAAACUUUGAAAAAGAGAAUGAUUCUUGUGAGGUUUAUUUUGUAUAAAGAAUGUGAGAAUUCUAAUUCCAAUGAACUCACUUUACCUUUGUAGAAAAAUGUGAUAGAACUUAAGGUUCUUCCUUCCUUCUCACCUCAAAUAUGUGUUAUUAGAAGAAACGAACACAUAUCCUGUCAUAGUUUUGAAGGAGCUUACCGAAGAAUAAGAAGAAAGGUUUGCUUGCAACCUUGAAAAGACGUAGGCAAGCCACACGUGUGAGGUUCAAUUUGCUCGUUCUUUUUCCUUUGAACUUUAAUUUAGGUGAUUUUUGUGUUGUUGUGCUCGUAUCAGAGUCUACUUUCAUAUUCUACACAAAAAUAUCAAAAUAAUGAACAUAUGCAUGAUAAGGAUUUAGAAUAAGCUAUCUUUAAUCAGGUCAAUAUUUGCCCUAAUAUAUAGUCAACACCAUCGUUUAGAUUUGAAGCCUUUUUUCCAUCUUUAAAAAAACUGCACAGUCAUUUUAUACACGAUCGUCUAUCAUUUCCUCCACGAUUAUGUAUUUUGGUCGUUCAGAAGAAGAAUUACGUGCGUGCAUAUAACCAAUUAAUCUCAUGAUAACUGGACAUUUUUGGUAUUUUCAAUUCUAGGCCUGUGGGCUUUUUUCGUUUCCAAAAUUGUUUGUACAGUGUAAAUAUUUUGUCAGUUUGUUAUAUUUUUGCAAAAACCCAUUAAUUAAUUGUUUGAUUAUUUUUUAUUAAAUAUGAUUUAAUCAAAUUAUUUAUUUAUUGAUUUAUUGAAUUUAAUUUAAUACAAUUUAAUUAAAAGUUAAAUAAAUUAAAAUCCACAUUAAUUGAUUUCUUGAUAUAAUGGUUAUAUAAUAGAUAUUUGAUGAUUGUUAUAAUAUUGAAUAUUUGUUUUAUUAGUGUUUUAAAAUGAAUUAGACAUUUAAAAUCUAUAACAACGAUAAAUUGCAUGCUCACCUAGGUUAAAAUCGUGGGUGAGGGAUUAUGUGACAACACAUCCCACGGUCUGUUCCAUUAGGUUGCAUAGUUAGUUUCAUGUAAUGUGUCUGCUUGUAUGUGGUGGAGCGACGCUCCCUUGUGAGGGUUGUAUUAUAGGAUUUGGAACACAGUGAAUUCUAUAUAUGGAUAGGGUCUCUUUAAUCGAUUUUCAUAUUGACUUUUUACUUUUUACUUUUGAGAGUAUAACAAUGCUUAUCUCUGAGAUUUGAAAAUGGUGGGUUACAAUUACAAGAAUUUUUAAGGUGUUAGUCUAUUCUUAACUGAAGUAGUGAUAACUAAGUGCAAUAGAAAUAUGAGAUAUUCAAGAGAUAACAUAUGAUCGAGAUUGUCUUGGUUCAAAGGAGGAAUAAUCGACUACCCUUUGGAGGAUGUUAUUCUAAACCUUUGAAAUAUCGUUGCAAAAUAGUAUAAUGAUGGAUACAUUUUUUAAGUUUGCUAAACAAUAUUAGUUCUUAAAAGGUUUUACAUAGUUUUUUCACUAAGUAGAAUACGUUUUACUUUUGGGGAAUUUUUACAAAUAGCAAAAUAUGUUAAAAAUUUUACAAGCUAUAGAAAAUUUUUGAAUUCUAUCAAUGAUAGUUACUGAUAGACUCCUAUCACUAUUGGCUAUCAAUGUCUAUUAUUGAUAGAAUCUGAAAAUUUUUGCUAGAUGUUGGAAAUAUUUGGUCAAAUUUGCUAUUUUUGACAAUUUCCCUUUAUGUUUCAGCAUAAAUAGCUCAAUAGUACAACUCUUAGCUACUAAGAAGCUUAACGGCUACAAAUAUGUGACAUGAAAAUUUAACUUAAAUUCAACACUAGUUGUCAAAUGCUAACCGAAAUGUUCGAGAAGUAUAUGAUCGAUGGGUUAAGGCCAAUCCAAAGGUCCGUGUCUAUAUGCUUGUCAGUACGUCUGAUGUUUUGGCAAAGAAACAUGAAUCCUUAGCCACGACUAAAGAGAUUAUGGAUUCAUUGAGGGAGAGGUUUCGUCAACCUUCAGGGUCCCUCAAACACGAAUCAAUUAAGCACAUUUACACCGAGCAAAUGAAGGAAAAUACCUCUUUUAGCGAACAUGUCCUCGACAUGAUGAUACACUUCAAUAAUGAUGAAGUAAAUGGAUAUCCCAUCGAUGAAGCAAAUAUAAAGAGCUUUAUUUUACAAUCUCUUUCGAAGAGUAUUGUACUGUAUUAGAUUAACGGGUCUCUGAAUAAGAUAAAGUUCACUAUAGCCACCCUACCUAAUGAGCUCCAGCGAUUUCAGAAUCUUACCAUGGGUAAAGUGAAGGAAGUAGAAGCAAAUGUUGCUAGAGCUGAUAAAGUGUUUAUGAAAGGAUCGUCCUCUAAAACUAAAGUUGGGCCUUCACUAAUGAAGAUUAAGGGAAAGGGGAAGACUUCCAAGAAUAGUAAGAGAAAGAAUAUUGCGAAAGGUAAAUGUUACCACAGCAACAACAAUAGGCAUUGGUUGAGAAAUUACCCGUAGUACCUUGUUGAGAAGAAAGCUGAGAAGAUAGCAUAAGGUAAGUAUGAUUUACUGACUGUUGAAACGUGCUUAGUGGAAUAUGUUACUUUAACCUACUAAUCAUAUUCACUCCAUUUCAGAGAAUUAUUUAUUGAAAAGCAUGUAAAAGACAUGACCAUUCCUAAAGUUUGGAACAUCAGAGAUUAUCUUAGCAGAAGCAGUGGGAGAUCUAAAGUUGUUUCGAUAGAUAUAUCUACUUAAAUAUGUUUUGUAUGCUUAUGGAAAAAUAGAGGAAUUUAAUAUCUAUCAAUUGUUUCAUAAUUAAUCUAUAUAAUAUAUUUUGAAUUCAAUAAAGUGUUUAUUUUUCUAAAAACUGUAUCCAAAUUUGUUCAACUAUAAUUAUAAACAACUUAUAUAAGUUAAGACCAAUUGAGGCAAAACUUCUUUUUAAUACUGAAAUGUUUAACAUAAAAAAAAAAAAAAAGAAAAAAAAGAUUUCUUCUAAAUGUCUAUAUAUGGUACUUAGAUUUGGUCUCGUAAAUCUCAAUGUGAUUGGUAGAUUGGAUAAGAGCAACUUCUAAACUAGUUAGAAAAUAACUCUUUACCUUUAUGUGAGUCAUGUGACCAUCUCGCACAAUUUCUCGUCCAGACUACAUAACCCGUCUAAGAAAAGUUAUAACCUAAAAUUCAUAACUCUUUUUAUCAAACUUCCUCCUAUAAAGUUUCUUUAAAAUAUGUUAACUUUCUUACCUCAAAAUUUCAGAGCAAAACGCCAAAUGAUGCGUUUUGUAGCCCUCUGUGAGCACACUUUACUCAGAUUCACUCGCGAAUUAACCUUCACGCCUUCUCAUAUCCAAAACGCUAAUUUUCUCAUAUCCAAAAUGCCCAGCAGUAUUCCAAAAUGAACUAGACUCAAUUUUUGAGCUUUUAAGACUAAUUUGAGUGAAAAUGUCCAAGUGAGUUGUGAGAAACUCCUUUAUGAAGUUAGCUAAAACGCCCAAGACCCUUUCUAACCUCUAUAGUUAUUUCGCCAAGACAACCCAAAAUGCUUGAACACUUCUUUAAACGCCUAAGAAGGUUCUCCAUUUUCUUUUUAUUGCCUAUGACACUCAUUUAGAGGUUAUAUCGCCUUCCUUGUUGCCCACCUUAACCUCUAAAUGUCCAAAACCAUACAUUUUCUACACUAGCCAAAAUCUCUCAAAUUUUAUCUUCUCUUAAACCCUAACUUUCAUCUUCCCAAAUAUUUUUACUUCCUUUUCCCCAUAAAUUUUAUUUCUCUUGUCUUUGACUAAGCUUAAUAAAUUCCUAAGGUUUAAGAAUUUUUGGGUUUCAUAACUUCCUGCGGCAUUGACUUGCAAUAAAGCCAUUGAUUGAAGGAGUUUGUUCAUCUCAGUGACUUGUCCCUGUAAUGCCACCAUUGCAUUCUUGUCUACUCCAUCUUCUAUCCUUCCUCUAUCUAUUUUAUUUCCCUUGCUAUCAAUUUGUGAUCCAAAGUCAUCAUCUCGCCAUUCCUGACAAUUGUUGGCUAUAACAUCCAAGUUUGUUUUUAUUUGAUUGUAGGAUGAUCUGAGCAUCCCGCCUAUAAAAACAAGGUCAACAGAUUGUUGUGUAUCCCUGCUUGUUAGUUUCGACAUAACAAUUUCGUGUGUAUAGCACAAAUGCAAUAUGUCACUAAGUAGAGUCAUUGCAAGUGAUGUGCUCGCCACAUCUUUUUGUGAUGUGCGCUUAAUUCUAUGUAAGAAUUCAAUGGUCAUGAUCAUAGCAUGCAAAAGGCUCACUAUGUACCUCUUCAUCGUGUAAUACUUAAGUCCUUGUUGAGUACGAGUUUUCCUACUGCGUGUCCAAGUGCAAGAGAAACAGUAGGUUUACCUGGAUGAUACUGGAUCAAACACUGGGAAUUGUUUAUAGACAUUUUCUAGGGAAUUAUUCAUUAGUUAGAAGACAUAAGAAUUAAUUAAUUAAAGUAUAAAAGAACGAGAACCAGGAUUAAAACUACUUAUGUACAGCUAGAGAAUCUGUAAAGAUAAUAAAUGGAUGCGAGGUGGAAUUGUAUGCAGACUAACUUGUAUGCGAAAAAGAGUGAAUAAAGGUCUACGCACCAUGAACCGAUUAAGCAAUGCGAGAGAUUUGAUGCGAUAUAACUUACUCAACCAACUUAUAAUUAAGGUGUGCUCCUCUUUAGAGUCAUUAAAUGUCACACAUAGUCUCAUUUCAAGAUCUACACCAUUAAGUUUGAUCAAGCAAGAUAUAUCUAGAAGAAUUAACUUAUAAAUCUUAUACACUUUACCAUUAAGAACAAAAUCUCUCAACGCCUAAUAUUCACACUUGUUCACCUUUUAUGACACAGUGGUGGAAGUUAUCUCUCAAAGGUGGAGUUGGUCGCCAAACUUUUCCUUGCAUGCAUUAGCCUCAUUAUUGCCACUUGCCCUCUCGAGUGGUUGGCAAUUGGCUAUGGCCAUACGAUGAGCCUAGCUUAACUAAUGCGAUAAGGAUUAUAAGCUAGGCUUCUUAUCAAGAACUAUCAGUAACUUAAACUACUAAUAAUACUUUGACGAAUGAAAAGUCAGAAAUGAUGGAUUGAAAAUGUAUAAACAUGUAAUAUAUAUAUAUAAAGAAUGUAGGCCUUAGCCCAUUGAACCAACAUAUAUUACAAAGAAGUACAAAAAUGAAGAGGAAGGAGAAUAAACGAUAUUUCAAGUUAGAAGACAACAGGAAUAUGGAUUCUUCCCUUCUCAGGAGUCAAGCUCUCGCUUUUACAACUGAUCGGAGAAGAAAGACGAAAAUUUUUACAGACGGCGGAAAGGUUAUUCCUUUCCGCCACUCUUUAGGGUUUUGGUCAGGCACUGUGCCGGUUCAGGCUUCUUGUUCUAGGUUGAAGGAGAUGACUUUUAUAUAGGCAACAUUUGGGAGGAAAACUUCUAUUCUUCUAAACUUGUCAGCGCCAUUUGCCAAAAAGUAUCUAUUGCACGUCACAUCAGUUUCAGUGCCCACUAUAUGUCUUCUAGUGACCCUUCAUCGUCUGAUAAUGUUAUUCCUCGCCUAGAAACGUUAAUUGCCAGAUGAAUUCCCUAUCACGUAGUCCUAGCACAAGAUGUUUCUUGUGGUUUACUAGUUUCUUUCUUUGUUUCAUUAUCUUGCAUUCAGACAUUAAAAUUGCAUGAAACAGACAUAAUACUUAUGUAAAGUGUAUUUGCAAAUACUUAUGUGUUUACUGUUAUGAUAUAUAUAUAUAUACAUAUGUCCUUUAUUGUAAUUUUACAUAGUCUCUAGGGUUUAGUUUAUUCUCUUUAUAAAUAUGUAACAUUGCUUUGACUCAAGGUGAAUAAGACAUACGUUUCUGAAUUCUAGAUUACAUUUACAACACAAGCUACGCAUUCUGAUCGUCUUUUUACGCGUUUUGACCUCAUUAUUCUAAUAAAAUGAGCUAUAAUAAUGGAUAUUUAUACACAUUAUCAAUCUUUGCUUAACUCGAAAUAAAACUGUUCCAUCAUAACACAUCCAAGGAUGCUGUGGUAUGGGCCUUCCUUGAUCAUUCUCUUCAAUCGCCUUCAUGAGUCUAUCAGAUUCUUAAUAUCUCUCUGCUCAAAGGUCAUCAGAUCCUACCUUCUUCUUGCAUUCUCAAUGGGAGGGAAUAACCUUUUCAUGAAUUUUUCAAUCAGGUUGUCCUAUGUAGUAGCUUCCCGUUCCUCCAAGGAGUUUACCCAUUGUUUAGCUUCAUCGCGUAAUGUGAGUGGGAAUACGCUAAACGCAGUUCGUCUUACAAUAUGCCUGUCAUAUUAAAUGACGCACAUAUAUAGUAAAAGUUUCUUACAAUCUCGUGAGGAUCUUUGCGCGGAUGUCCUCCAAACUACCCAACGUUCUAGAUCAUUUGCAACAUUACUGGUUUGAUUUCGAAUCGUGAGUUUUCUCCAAACUCAGUGUAUGUGAUACCUGAAUUAAAGUUAUAGAGGUUUGGUGAUGCAUAUGAUUUGAUGGGGCAAGAUAAGCGGGAUUUUUAUAUAGGGCUUGUUGGUUGGCAGAGUUAUUGUUUUGAUUGUUCAUGUUUGCUUCUUGUUACCUCUACCUUUGUCUAUGAUUUCUCUGAAAUGUUUGCUUAAUUUUAAGGUCAAUUUGAAAUUUAGGUUGUUCGCUUGCACUCAUAAACUUGUUUGCCAGCUUUUCAGCUAAAGUACGUGAUUCAGCUGUUUGGCUAAAGUACGCGAUUCAGCUUUUAGGCUACAAUACACAAAAUUGAACUUCUACAUAAUUUAGCGCACAAUUUAGUCAAACUAGGAAAAACUUUAAAAUUCCCCCACAACGACACCAAAAUUUGCUUGUUUCUACUCAUGCACUCUAUUUUCUCAAUAUAUGGCUAUGAUUUUUACGACUGAUGGAUGGCGAAAUAGAGUUAUGCGAUAAAAGGUGCAUUUCUAUUCAUGCGUUGCUAACAUAAUAAUUAAACAUUGUCGCGUAAGCUUUCCUCUCUAUUGCCCAAGUGUAAGCAAUGAGAGGUUUUCUAGUAAUUCCAGGGUCGAAAUCAGAGAAUUUAAGCUCAUAAUUUAUGCAAUUGCUUACUAACCUAUGUGGCAUACACUAUACAGUAAAUCAUAUGAACAAUAUAUCAAUUACCCUAACAAUUUACACUAUUGUGCUUGACGGUGCUAACAUAAUAAUUAAACGAUGCAAUAUAAAAUCGGUAUAGACAUGGUGAGGAAGGAAAAUUGAACUGCUAAAUACAACGACUGAUGAUUCACUACCUCAAGGCAAUACAAUUCGACAAAUGGGCCAGAUAAUUCAAAAAUAUAGGCUGAAUAAUUUUGUUUUUGUCGGAACAUUCGUACCUUUUUUAAUGCUAAGAUAAACAACUUUUUGCAGAGUUAAAAUCUUUCCAAACUGAUCGGCUUAACUAAGAAUUGAUGCAAGCAACUUCUUAGUGCAAUGUCAUACUUGCUCGCCUUUCAGGAUGCAAAUACACAAGUUAAGUGAUGCAUAUAUCUAAUCAUAUUCUCAGUAAUGCAUGUAGAGGAUGAGCUUGGCAACAAGAGUUCAGUGAUGCUUUCUUCUCACCACUUGCUUAGUUAAAUAGGGUUAUUAUGUGCUUGGUGAUUACAAUCUAUACUUUUGCUAUUCUUUUGAAUGAAUAAGAUUAAUAUACUCAUGUUUGACUGAGCAAAACUCUUACAGCAUUCAUUAUAACUUUCUUAGCAUUGAAUACCAUUCAUUACUACUUAGCUAAUAAAUCACAUACAUAUAGGCGAGAUAAGAAAUGGAAGAAGAAAAGCAUUGCUUUUAUAAAUAACACUUAAACCUUCUGGCCAUGAAGUUCUACUUACAAAACAACAUAAAAUAAGAAAGAGAAAGUGAAAAUACAACAGGUGAGUUACUCCACAGAGUCUAAUCUCACGUACUAUUUGCUUCGCUUUUUGCCUAUAGAUGAGGGGAACAAUGGAUGAAUGAAUCUCUCUCUCUUUUGUUUUAGCUCUCACCUAAAACUCAAAGUAAGGGAGAAGGAUUGAUGAUAUAAAGAGCUUGCAUUCCGCCCAAAUUGUGCACACUUUGUUUUGGAGUGAGAAACUCUAUUUAUACACCAGGAGUGAUGUUGACAUGCCGGCACGCGACAUUAAGAUCUCCAAAAAUUUAUAGCUAUGUUGUGCAGCCUGUCCUAUUAGUCAUCUUCUGACUUUCCCGCCAAAAAUCUUUUGUUUGCUAUCGGCUUGAUCGCCUAGCAACUACUUCCUUGCCAUAGAAAGGUUGGUUGGGUCUCCUUGCGCUUAAUGAGCUACUCGUCGAGCUUCACCCUUCUUCACUUAGUAUCCUGUGAUAAGAGCACUUAAACAUUUUGCGUUAGGUUUUUCCCAGCAUAAUCAAAUCAACCACUUUUUCUCCCUAUUUUCUUCUAUUUUCAUGCGAUAAGACUUCAUUAUUUAGUUUUAAAAGGCUACUUUCUACUAGUUAUCACUAAGCAAGAAGUAUAAACAAAUGACUUGAAAUGUACACAAACAGAUAUGAAAAAUACAUACCAAAAUUAAACUAAUGAUGUCCUCUCCAAAGAUACAGCCUCUUGAACAAUAUGAAGAACAUUCCUACAACAAUUGAAUAUUAAAACUUCAAAAUCAAUCAACUAUAACGUGCCUGAAAAUGAGAUUUCAAAUAACAAACUAUUAUGUGUAGAUCCAAGAGUUGGAUUUCAAGUCCUAUUGUAUAGAUUUAUGUACAACUAUACACCAUUUAUGUGCUUUCAUUGUGUAUAAAUAACUAACAGGACUUAUUGUUAACCCAAAUAAGGAAGAACACUUGGAAAAUGUAAUGCAAAACACUAAAUACAGUCCAAAAUCCAAACUAACUAAUAAUUUAUAAAAAUAAAGAUAUACAUAUACAGCAAGAGGCCUAUCUUAAUUAAAUAAACUACUAAAGGGAAAGCUUUUUAAAUCCUUCAACCCACAAUGUUUAAUUCUUAGACGCAGUAAUUCAUAAAGAUAAAGGUUAUCAGAGUUCCUUUUAACUAACGAAUAAAACGUGUAACUGCCAAUAAUAAGCAAAACCAACUUAACAUAAAGUCGUUCAGUAAAAUGUAACGACGCUUAUUGAACUGAACAUAAUCGUCUAGAAAUAAGUGUAAGUUCGUAAACAUCUUUUUGUAUCUCGAGGCUUAGAAUCUAUGAUCUGCAAGAUGACAAUGACAAAUGAUCGUUACAAACUUAAUUUGGUAUUUGAUUAACUUAAUUUGGUAUCUGAUUAUGAAGGUAAUAAAAAGGUUGAAAUUUUGAAUAAAAGCGUUGCUAACAUAAUAAUUAAACAUUGUCGCGUAAGCUUUCCAACAUGUAAGACCAAAAUAUAUACUUUACAACAUGAGAAAGAUUAAAUCCAUAAUCUACAAAACUAUAUUGAUAGAGGCCAACAUUUGCUCCAUCCACAAUGGCAUCACAAUGAUUAUGUACAUCUAUGAGUGCAACACGCCCAUGGCCAUAUUUUGUAACCUUAUAUAUGCAAAAGAAAUAUAUAUAUAUACAUAUAUAUAAUGAAAAUUUUAUGAACCUACGCGUGCACACAUUUAAUAAUAAUUACUUGUCUGCAUUUUCCAUUUUGGCAAAUUCACCCACAAGAAUGCUAUAAGUUACCGAGCUCAUUUCUAUGUCUUAUCUUCUUUCACUUUUCUAACAAAAGAUAGUAUGAAUAUGGCUGCACAUCAAUAAAGCUUACUAUUAUCGCAAGACGACACACUUGAAAAAAAACAUUUAUAUUGAAUUAAUAUAGUAAGUAUACUUUUGCAAUGACAUAUCUACCAUCAAAAUAUAUAUUUCAAGCAUAAAAUACUUAAUUGACCUUCUAUACAAAUCAAUCGAACUUUAACCAUAAUCAAAACUGGAAUGGUGACCUUUGUCAGUUGACCUUUGUGUCAAUAAAUGAAGCAAAAAUAUCAAGCUAACAUUAAGAUCAAAUUAGACCUUUAGUACAAUUGUAUAAGCCAAUUUUAAACCUUUCAAGAAACCAAUUCUAUAAGCCAAUCGUCUUCCUUGAGAUAGAGAACAAUUCAAGAAACUAAUUUAGACCUUUAGUACAAUUCUAUAAGUCAAUUUUAAAGUUAUUAAUGUAUCAAUACAAUUGAGAUUCUUACCUUGUCUGUAUGAUGUGGCAUAGUUAUAUUACAUUGUCCAGUAGAUACGUCCCAAAUCUUGAUUUGCUUACCAGCACUUGCAUUAGCAAAUAUGCAAUCAAGAAUUUGAAACAAAAUAACUCCAAGAUGCAAGUGGGUCAACAAUUUUAAGUGAAAUGAUUAAAAUGAAAAAUUCAAGAAAACUAGCAGCUUACAUUUCUAUAGAAUAACAAAGACUAUAUUCAAAUUUCUUAAAGAAACCACAGUGCUUCUAAGUCCACAAAAGAAGAUGUAGUUAUCAGUUGUCAAAUACUUCACAUUUACUUGAUACAAUCUUCAAUAAGGCUAAAAUCAAUAUUUUAUAUAAUAAAAAAUCAAAUAAUAGAAACAUGGACAAAUCCCUUUCCUGAAGGUUCAUGAAGAUCAUUCUCACUAAUCUUGUUCGUUCCCUUUGAAUGAGACGCGAAGCAGCUAAGAUAGUACCCUUCGCAACACCGUAUUUCUUAAGUGGGCUGGAAUUUCGGAAUGGGGCAAUGGGGUUUUUCAAAGUUUCAAACCAUAGACUUUAGAAACGGAUAAUAUUUAUUUUUCAGAAACCAAAAUCAGAUAGUAACAAAAAAAGACUAAUCACCAGGAAAGGUUAUAAAAAACCAAAUCAUAUGCCAUGUCUAAAAAUAUUAUGGUUACUUGGAACGAUUCGCUAACCCUUCAGAAAGAGAAUCAAAUAUCAUUUCAAAUGCAUCCUUUUGAAGAAUAACUCCAAGCUCUUUUUGAAGCUUCCUUCUGAAAUAUACAUAUAGAUUCCUUUCUUAUUCUUUCAAUAGCAAAUAGUUGAGAAAGCAAAAGAAAUGGAAUGAAACAUUGAGAAAUCAUAAUUUAGAACCAACAAAUGGUGUCAUAUUGUCAAAGCAGAUGAGUGAGGUGAAAAAUAAAGACAAUUAAUAAUCAAUAAUGUUACCUAGCAAUCACAAGUAAACAAUCAUUUUCUGUAACAAAAUUCUUUCGAUUGGUGAGUGAAAAGAUAGAAAAACCCAAGGAUCUUACAAAAGACGACUACAAUCAACUUGCCAAUUGAAAAAAUGGGCUUAAUCACAGAGAAAGAGUACAGUGAUGUUUAUGAGAAACUGAACCACACAUAAAAUUAAUUAUUUAUUUUGCAUUAAAACUUACGGAACAACACUUAAAAGGUACCAAACUUUGAUGGAAAUUUCUUCAAAAUCCUCCAAAUCUAUAAUCUUUCCUCCAAAACAUUAUGGGUAACAUUAAUUUAUGUCAAAACCAAAUGGGUAUUCAAGGAAUCUGAGAAAACUCACUGAAAUAUUUGUCAAAAGUCUUACCGAGAACAUGUCAAAAUCACCUCAACUCCACUGGACAACACGAUAACAACCUUUUAAACUCAAAUAUAACAUUUCAAAAUCACGAGUAAUUUAAUUUUGCACCAAACACUUAAUGGAUAUCCAUGACCCAUUCAAGAAAACCAAGAUUCUCACCAAUUCUAUGUCAAAAGAGCCAAAAAUCAAUCUUCUUAUUGACUAGACAACAACUCAAUUCUUCCAAAACUUCAAAUCUAACAACGAAAUGUAAUGGAUAUUGUUAAACACAAGCCUAAACUAUAUAUUAAAAAGUUUCAAGAAACCCAACCAAAAUAUACAAAAAUAAGAAUACAUUACUCAAGAGUGAUCGAAGCGGGUCAGAACUAAUACAAACAACUUCGGUGCGCGCAACGGUGACGUUUGGUGGUAGGCUGCUAGACGGUUGGCGUGGGGAGGGUGGCUUCAGCACCACGAAGAAUAUGAUAAUUUCUUUGUUGUCAUUCACUUAAUUCUUUUCAACUCUCACUUACUCUCCGGGUAAAACAACACAACAAUAGUUUGGGCAAGAACCCAUCACAAAAAUUCAAAGAUUGAUUCCAAAACGAAAAUGAGAAAUAAAUGAAACCCAAAUCAAAUGAAGAAACCCAAUUAAGGAUUCUUGCGGCAGAAGCACGAUGAAGAUUGGUUGCCGUUCGCGAUCUAGGGUCACAAAUUGAGAAGAGAAGAAAACUAGAAACCAACUUGGAGAGAAAGAAAAGAAAAAUUGAUAGGGAAAGAGUAGAGUAAGAAAGAGUUAAGUAAGAAAGAAAAUAGAGAAAGAAAAGAAAAUUUGAUAAGGAAAGAAUAAAGAAAGAGUAAGAAAGUGAGGGAAAAUUUAGAUUUUAAAACCUAAAAAAAAUUAAAAAGAAAUUAAAAAUGGGGGUCAUUAAUGUCAAUUUUUACAAAAUUAAAAAAAAUUAAAAAAAAUAAAAAUGGGUUGAUCAUUAACGUUGGUUUAAAAAUGACAUUAAAUCCUUAUCACUAGUGUCGGUUUAAAACCGACAUUAAUGAUCAGCCUUUUCAAAAACGACAUUAAAGACAAUUUUCAUUCUUUUCACCUGACCCUAAAGUCCAUAUUUCUUGUAGGGUUUAUAAAUGUUAUUUAAUCUACAAAGAGAAGAUUAGACACCUUUUGUCUUGUGGAUUGCUUGUCAUUUUCCUUAAUGAUAUCAUUUCAUCUUAGUGAUAGAGUAUUAUCGGUAAUAUAUGACUUGUCAUGUAAAUGUAUCAUCGACAAAGGUCUAUCAUUCAUUUCCAUUAUAUGUAAAUUUUUCAUUGUUGUACUUCUACCUGUUGAUAAUUGACUUCACAUGUCGAUGUAUGCCGAUAGAAUAAAGGUAGCACUAAUUUGUGGUGUACUUUCAUAAAACGGGUUCCAAACAAUUACUACAUUUUUAAAAAAUAUAUAUUAAAGAAAGGUAAAAUAGAAUCAGGGAUAAGGGACACAAAUAUUAGCAAAGAUGCAGUUAAUUAAUAGCAUAGCAUAGAUGGAAAAAUGAAGAGUAAGACAUAGAUAGAUUAAAGCAUACAACAUCCUUUAUUUUGAUUACUUCCAAAAUAUUUGAUAGAUAUAAAGAUAAAAGCAACAUGUGCAUCAUCAUCUAAAGUAGACAACUAAGCUAUGCAUACACAGGAUAUUCAAUGUUCGUGGGGGAAACAGUAGAAGCUGCCGCAUCUUCAAAUCGUAAGAGUGCCCACGAGUGGUUAACUUUUUUAUGAAGCACAGUAGCCACAUAUACCUUUUCAAAUUUUGGGACAGAUGGAGCUAAUAUAAAUUCAUCUACCUUCACUAAGAGAUGAUAUUUUUCUUCUCCCACAGAAACUGAGCAAACAACGGCAAACCCUACACUGAUGAACUUUCUUUUUAUCCCUUUAUUGUAAUGUGUAUACUCCUCCACUGCAAACCUUCCCAUUGCUUGCAAAUACGAAUUAUACUCGACAUUUGAAAUUUGUUUGCAAUCUUCUUGAUUAUUAGGGACUACCAUUUCAACAAAAUCACUCAUCCUAAUUUUUAAUUGGUUGGGUAGAAAUUAAUUAAGCAAAGCUAUAUGAUUGUUGCUGCCUUUAUUCUAGCGGUAGUUGCACAUUUAUAGAGUUGUAGUG